rnacentral:rRNA from 1 species
GAUGAACGCUAGCGGGAGGCCUGACACAUGCAAGCCGAGCGGUAUUGUUUCUUCGGAAAUGAGAGAGCGGCGUACGGGUGCGUAACACGUGUGCAACCUGCCUUUAUCUGGGGGAUAGCCUUUCGAAAGGAAGAUUAAUACUCCAUAAUAUAUUGAACGGCAUCGUUUAAUAUUGAAAGCUCCGGCGGAUAGAGAUGGGCACGCGCAAGAUUAGCUAGUUGGUGAGGUUACGGCUCACCAAGGCGAUGAUCUUUAGGGGGCCUGAGAGGGUGAUCCCCCACACUGGUACUGAGACACGGACCAGACUCCUACGGGAGGCAGCAGUGAGGAAUAUUGGUCAAUGGGUGCAAGCCUGAACCAGCCAUCCCGCGUGAAGGACGACUGCCCUAUGGGUUGCAAACUUCUUUUGUAUAGGGAUAAACCUACCCUCGUGAGGGUAGCUGAAGGUACUAUACGAAUAAGCACCGGCUAACUCCGUGCCAGCCGCCGCCGUAACAC